UAGCUCGAUCGGUAGAGUGCUGGACUGGCAUGCCAGAGGACCCGGGUUCAAACCCCAG
rfam:Crassostrea gigas strain 05x7-T-G4-1.051#20 contig3202, whole genome shotgun sequence.